UCUACGGAUGCCAACGGCCACUGAUCCGCCUCCUCCCGCGCUGCCCUCCCACGUGUCUCUGGAGCUCACAGUGUUUUCCAAGCUGCUUUUCAGCACUGAGUUGGUAUAACAUCAAGCUGCCCCCACAGCAGCCACCCCUGAUGCUGUUGGCCCGUGGUGGAAAACAAAAAAGGAAGAAGAGAAAGAAAGCCCUGGCGUGAGGUGGCUUUGUUUGGGAGGGCAGGGGGACGGCUCCAGCCCCGGUGACGCCAGCAGCUGCACAGCCAGUGACGCCAGCACAGUUGGACACUGCUCCGGGGGGGACACAAAGCAGGAGACUGUCUUGCUGCAUGCACUGCCCAAGGAACUGUUUUGCUCUUAAGAAGCAGAACCAACCUUCUUUGUGAUUUUCCUUCUCCAGCCAUCUAGCAGUAAAAAGUGAGCCCAACAAUACAGGACCGGUUUCCCACCGAGUUUUUCAGGGCGGUGCUUAAGAGGAAUAAACAGGUCUGAGGAAGCUGAAUCCCAUGCAGAAAGACAAAUAAGAAAAUGGUUCAGGGCUGUGUCACUUAAUGAGCCCCAUCGCCAAAGCUCAUGGCCCCCAGAGAGCCUUCCUUGUACCUGGGAAUACGGAGAGAGGGAUUUCUCUUCUCUCAUUGCUGCACCAGGAAUUGAGUUACGGAGAAGGAAAUCCCACGAGUGGGCCACCCUCGGGAGGGGUCCCCUAAUGCCAGUCCACAUCUGGAAAAAUGCUGGAAGCCAAGAGGGAAUGAGGUGGGAUGGGGGCAGAGCAGAGGGUGUUUGGAUUCCUGCUUUGAAAGGGGUUGGAGGUGGGGCGCACAGGGGGCAGCAGGGCUGCCCGCAGUGCAGCUGAUGGCACACUUGGCUGCCAGGGCGGUGGUUAAAGAUUAAAGCUGGCUCCAGUCUGCAAUAUUUAUCUUGGGAGGAGGGGGGCACCCCACACUGUUUGGUUUGUGGGAAGUGUUGGGAAACGGUGACGCCGGUGCAGUGAGAGCAGGCAGGGCUGGCUGCAUGGGGUCAGCGAGGGUGGGAACAACACGGAGAGGGAUGCUGCAGGGAAAAACCCAGCAGAGGGCUCCAGGCACAGCCCCCUGCCAGCAAGGUGUGGGAACCAACCUCUUCCAUCAGCACCUCAGGGGCAAACGCACUGAGAAACUUGUGUGUUCAGAAGUCAGCGACAGGGAGCGUGUCAGUAGCAUGGACAGGAGAUGAUUUUCUGGUUCAAUCACACUGAGCAUUAUAUCCUGCAAUAUGUUUUUGAAGAUUAGUAACAAACUCCUCGCCUUGAUCUGGAAACAUCCAUGCAGAGCUCCCAGGACAAGGAGCCCUUCAGGACUGAAGUACAGUUUGGUGCUGCGGGAGGAAAUACCUGACUGAGGACUUGCACUGUAUCUGUGCUCUGUGAAAAACUUUCAAGAGCAACUUUUGUAUCAGAGCAAAUCAAGAAAAAGCUGUCCCAGACAAAGAGGUCACGAAGUGGACAGUGCCUGUUAAGCCCAGUGUGGGUCAUGGCAUCAACGGUGAGAAAAACUGUGGAUGCAAUGGUUUGUGGAGGUGGCAGGAGUUACGAGCAAAUGUGUUUGAAACCAUUGAAUAAAGCAAUGCAAAAUGUAUUGGGGAACAGGUGCUGAGUUAAUUGUGAGGGAACUAGGCUAUGUGGCAGCUGAUUACUAGUUUCUACAGAAACAUUUUUGUGGAAAAUUGUUGGAAACUGACCUGGAAUUUUUAGGUAUUCAGAGGAGCAAAUUAACUAUCACUUUCUAUACGUAAGCUUUGAGUUUGGUAAGCCAAAAAAUAGCCCCUAGCAAAUACUGCGAGACAAUAAACACUGACAACAUAGCUUGAUUUGGUAAUUGUUUGGGUUCCAGUAGCAGUUAGAGGGAGAAGAAUCCUGAACAGGAGGUGACGGGGCUGCUUCCAGCUGGGGCUGUGUAGUGCUGAGCAUCAAAAAGCCCACAGAAGAGCUGAUAUGGGACAUGCACAGGGCUGAGGCAAGCAGUGCAUCCUCUCUCAGCCUGCAAACUGAUCACCGUGCAGAAAGGGAGUAGAAAUGAUCGAUUGGUUCUGACACAGCAAAAUGACAGCUCUAAGGGCUGCUAUGGAAUCACAGAAC
ensembl:lncRNA